rnacentral:rRNA from 1 species
UACGAAGGGGGCUAGCGUUGCUCGGAAUUACUGGGCGUAAAGCGCACGUAGGCGGCUUUCUAAGUCGGGGGUGAAAUCCUGGAGCUCAACUCCAGAACUGCCUUCGAUACUGGAAAGCUCGAGUCCGGGAGAGGUGAGUGGAACUGCGAGUGUAGAGGUGAAAUUCGUAGAUAUUCGCAAGAACACCAGUGGCGAAGGCGGCUCACUGGCCCGGUACUGACGCUGAGGUGCGAAAGCGUGGGUAGCAAACAGG